GCUCUUAUGGUGGAAUUGGUAGACACGGUAGUCUCAAAAGCUACUGAUAGAGAUAUCGUCUCAGUUCGAGUCUGAGUAGGAGCACCA
rnacentral:tRNA from 2 species